rnacentral:tRNA from 1 species
UAGCUCAGUGGAAGAGCAACCGCCUGUCGAGCGGUAGGCCGCGGGUUCGAUCCCCUC